GCUAACGCGUGAAGGCGAGCACUCUAGACGAACUGCCGUUGAACAAAACGGAGGAAGGUGGGAUGACGUACAAAUCAUCAUGCCCCUUAUGUUCGUGGGCUACACACGUGCUACAAUGGCCGGUACAGACGGACGCAAAGCCGCGAGGUGGAGCAAAUCCUAAAAAGCCGGUCUCAGUUCGGAUUGCAGGCUGCAAUUCGCCUGCAUGAAGUCGGAAUCGCUAGUAAUCGCAGGUCAGCAUACUGCGGUGAAUACGUUCCCGGGCCUU
rnacentral:rRNA from 1 species